rnacentral:rRNA from 1 species
UACGUAGGAUGCAAGCGUUGUCCGGAAUUAUUGGGCGUAAAGAGCGCGCAGGCGGUAUGACAAGUCAGAUGUGAAAGAGGCCGGCUUAACCGGCAAGGGUCAUUUGAAACUGUCAGACUAGAGUGCAGCAGAGGAUAGUGGGAUUCCCGGUGUAGUGGUGAAAUGCGUAGAUAUCGGGAGGAACACCAGUGGCGAAGGCGACUAUCUGGGCUGCAACUGACGCUGAGGCGCGAAGGCUAGGGUAGCAAACAGG